GAACUGGGAACCAGAGACCUGAGAGAAAUUGGUGCCUUGAAAUAAGCCCAGCAAGACAGAUACCGAAUCAGUGACAUCACAGAGGACUAGAACUCUGCAGCUCCUAAUCCCAGAUCCUGUGCUUUGUGCUCUAAACUGUGCUGCCUAUCUCUCAUGUGUUACAAGGUACCUUAAAAUAUAGGAACACUAUGGAAUGGAGAUAAUUAAAACUUUCUGGUUAAA